GAUGAACGCUGGCGGCGUGCCUAAUACAUGCAAGUCGAGCGAACGGACGAGAAGCUUGCUUCUCUGAUGUUAGCGGCGGACGGGUGAGUAACACGUGGAUAACCUACCUAUAAGACUGGGAUAACUUCGGGAAACCGUAGCUAAUACCGGAUAAUAUUUUGAACCGCAUGGUUCAAAAGUGAAAGACGGUCUUGCUGUCACUUAUAGAUGGAUCCGCGCUGCAUUAGCUAGUUGGUAAGGUAACGGCUUACCAAGGCAACGAUGCAUAGCCGACCUGAGAGGGUGAUCGGCCACACUGGAACUGAGACACGGUCCAGACUCCUACGGGAGGCAGCAGUAGGGAAUCUUCCGAAAUGGGCGAAAGCCUGACGGAGCAACGCCGCGUGAGUGAUGAAGGUCUUCGGAUCGUAAAACUCCGUUAUUAGGGAAGAACAUAUGUGUAAGUAACUGUGCACAUCUUGACGGUACCUAAUCAGAAAGCCACGGCUAACUACGUG
rnacentral:rRNA from 1 species